AGGGAAACCGUUAUUUCAGUUUCUUACUGGCGGCUUUGUCAGUCACGUGAUCACGGAACACUAAACAUUCCUUGUUCAAGGAAAAAAGUCACACCAUCAGGAUCUGACAAAAGAAGAUUGCAGAGCGAUUGCGUAGUCCAAUCGGAAUGACAAUAGGAUAGAGAAAUCUGCGUGGAAGUACUUGGCGCUCAGCCUCAG